AUGAACCUUGUCGGCGCAUCCCGGGGAGAGGAGGACGUGGAUGUUUUCGGUUAUUUAAAAGUGCUCCAUACAACUGAAAUGAGACAGAUGGGACAAAAGCCUUCAUUUAAUAGGUAAACGUGCCUCUGCUCUGAUUCUCCGCAGCGCGCCACUGUGUGACCCUGUGAACUUGACUCGAAAAUGCAUCUUUAUGGGUCUCCAAACACCCCUCCACAUCCCUGUUCUUGUUUGCACUGGCUUGCCCAAGCAGGAAGUGACAUCAACUCAUCCAAACUAAAAAUAUGUCGCAGGAGGAGCUGUCUAGGAUGUCCAGGACCGGUAUUUGCAGGGACGGAUGCCUCGCACCGGCUCCACAGACAGAGUGAUGCUAUUUGCUGGAUGUUGGGGGAAGAAAGCGCCGCACACGCGAGGCAGAGAUUUCUAUCAAGGGUAUCUGCUGAAAAAUGCUGUCUGCCAUCAACUCAUAUCUGAGGAGGAUUACAGAACAUUUGGGGGCAAUGUAAAAGCUCAGAAUU